rnacentral:rRNA from 1 species
GACGAACGCUGGCGGCGUGCUUAACACAUGCAAGUCGAACGGUGAAGCGCCUUCCUUUUUGGUGGGUGUGGACGAGUGGCGAACGGGUGCGUAACACGUGAGUAACCUGCCCCCUUUUUCGGGAUAACCCGGGCAAUGAUUGCCUAUACGUGGUUAGUCUGGGUGUGUGGCAUGUUGGGUCUGGGCACUAUCUGAUUUGGGUGGGGGGGGGGAGCGCGGCCUAGCGGUUUGUUGGUGGGGUGGUGGCCUACCGAGGCGGUGACGGGAGGCUGGCCUGGGAGGAUGGACGGUCACACUGGGAAGGAGACACGGACCAGACUACGACGGGAGGCAGCAGGGGGGAAUAUUGCACAAGGGGCGCAAGCCUGAUGCAGCGACGCCGCGUGAGGGAUGGAGUCCUUCUGGUUGUGAACCUCUUUCGCCAGGGAAGCAGGCCUGCCUCGUUUGUGGGUGGGUUGACGGUAGCUGGAGAAGAAGCGCCGGCUAACUACGUG